UUGUGAAAUGGUUGCCCACUCCAUCCGUCUCGAGGCAUUCAUUGUGAUGAAGGUACUGUCGUUUCUUAGCAACUGCUCAACUUUCAAGUGGUUCUUCGGAUGGGGAUGCCUCUUCCGUGCUGGGAUCCCUUCCCCAGGGAUAAAUGAUGCUUUUAGUAUUUCUUUUUCUUAUAAAAAUUAUAAUCAUACCUAACAUUCAUACUGCUUUUCACUCAUAGAGCUCAAAGUAUUUUGCAAAAUCAGUAAGCAUUGUUUUCUCCAUUGUAGAGACAGAAAAGCUGAGUCACAGAGACACUAGGGCCAAUAUUUUCAUGUGUUCAUUCAUUUUAUGCAUCUUCAUUUCUGGGAACCCAGUCUGAAAUAACUUAACCUAAUUGCUUUGCUGUAGGACAUGAAAGGGAGCAGUAGGUCUUGAGCACCUUUGAAAAAUACAGAAUAGAACAGUAGGUGCAAAAUAUCUCAGAUGAGGCACAGAGAACUGAGUACCUAUGAAAAUGUAGUUGUAUACCAUCUGAUCAAGACCACAAAGAGCUCCCUUACUUCUGACAUCAGAGCCAGCGACCUCCAUUCAUGAGCCUACUGCUGCUUCAGGGUCUUCUUUCUGCCUUAAGUGGUGGAGAGAUGAGAUGGUGCAAAGCAUCAGGGUAUUUUAGAAGUUUCAGAGUAACUCUUCAUGCUGUGACAUAUUCAUACCUCCAGAGUUUUUUUUUUUUCUGCAAGGAAGGUAGAAAACAACCCUGUCCUAGAAGAACUGGUGGACUGGUAGCUAGACUUAAUAUUGAAAUGGUGGCAGCUGGUUCAAAAUUCUUAUCACCUAGCAAAGACUUCACCCUGAACUUUCCAUAUUCUAGAUGAGUCCAUUAAAUAUUUGGUCCUUCUGACUGCUUCUUCUCUUCUUCUGGCCAGCGAGUCCAUUUCAGAUCUAAGCAACCUUUUCCACUGAGACUAGAAAGUAUGUUCCUGCAGAGUGUCAGCUUCAACAAACUGCCAUUCACAGACAAAAAAUGUGUUUCAGUAAAAAAUUUCUGUGAGCUCUAUCGGCCACGUUAAUGCCAAUAGUACUCAAAUACACACAGUUUUAUAACUGCAUUGGCUUGUCUCUGCUUACCUGCAGCCUCUCUUGCCUAAGGAAGUUUCUGGAUUCGUAUCAUCUUUUCUCGGUUAACUUGUUCUUGGGUAGAAUAUUUCCUCUUAAUCUAAAAUGCUUCAAAUAAUCAAUAUAACUUUUCUGUCCCUGUUUGAAACCCAUCCUGCAUAUGUUGUGUGAUGGCUGAUGAACAACUCAACAUGAGCCAACAGUGUGUGCUCUCAGCACAGAAAGCCAAAGGAAUCCUGGGCUGCAUCAACAGGAAUGUGGCCAGCAGGGCAAGGGAGGGGAUUGUCCCCCUCUACUCUGCACUUGUGACCCCACAACCCGGAGUGCUGUGUAGGUUCUGGUGUCCCCAGCAUAGGAAGAACAUGGAACUUUUGGAGCAAGUCCAGAAGGCGGCCAUGAAGUUGAUGAAAGGACUGGAGCACUUUUCCUACAAAGACAGGCUGUGGAAGUUGAGGCUGUUCAGCCUGGAGAAGUUUGUGUGAAGACCUCAUUCCUUUUUUCAAACCUCUCUCCUUUAUUUUCCAUUCUGGUUUGUUCCAGUCUGUGCCAUUACUCAAAUUUCUCUGCUAGCAGGGGCUUUUUUAGUGUCCCACAGCUCCAGUUGUUGACAUAUCUUUUUCCAAUACUGCUUCCUUUGCCUGGACUAACAUUUCUCUCUCUGCUUUUUAAACUCUCUCUCUCUCUCUCUUUCUUUCUCUCUCUCUCUCUCCCCCCUGUCUUGAUUUCAAUUGAUAACAGAUUUGUUUAGCAAUUGUUUUUUUAAACUUUAGUUCUGGGUUUUUCCACUGUGAACCCAAGCCAGCCUGCACUUUUCUAGCACUCAGUACAAAAGUUACAAAACAUAGGAUUGGACAUUAUACCUCAGUGGAGGAGUUCAAAUCUGGUAGCAUCCAUGCUGACCAGAGACAACUUCACUGCCCCUGCUCCAGGACUCUGGAUGUGCUAUGAUAUGGUGAUUUAUCCAGCCUAACCCUCUGCCAACAGUAAGCACAGAUGGAAGGCUAUUUAGAGGUGGAACACUGAAGAUGGCAUUAUUUGCCAAGAGUUGCAUUCUAGAGCUUAAAGGAAAGGAUCUGUCAAAGAGAGAGGUUGUGCUGGUAAGAAACUCCCAGACCACCCCAACUCCAUUGCAUCAGGAGGACUGAAUAAUCAGUGACCUUGAGCAGAUGCUCCUCUAAUGGGAGUAGAGGCCAUCGGGAAGACUUUUUGUAUCUGUGGAAUGUGUCCAAGGAGAGAUACGAGGUGUGUAUAAGGAAAUAAUCUAAGUCAAAACAAGAAAGUGUACAGCCAUCCAAGCAUCUGGAAAGAGGUAGCACUGGCUGACCUGACAGACUUGUUUGUAUGUGCAUGGUGAAGCCUGAAGAUGAGCUGCCAGGGAUGGCUGAGCACAUUCGCUCCCUGAGGAUUUCUGGAUGGGAUUCUCAGCCUGGGAUCUAUCUCCCUGUGAACUCACUGAAGCAUACACCAGUUCCAGACUGUGUUGCCAUGCUCAGUAGCUUGUGGGAGAGGAAUAGUGUAAAGACAGUUCUUGCCACGCUGGACUUAAGAGGUUACUCUGAGAAGUGGGGGCAUGUCAGGAUCUUCACUCCUCUGCUGCAAUGAGGGAAAUGUCCCAGGCAGGAACACAGUCCCAGGGAUAGGGGUGUAUGACAUACAGAAUAAAGCUAAGGUCCUAUGAUGACCAUAUUUGAACUUCUGAUGAAUGGUAAAAGGAGAAGGAUGAACAGGCUCUUCCUUUUUUUGACCUAUCAUGCUGUCCUAUCCUCUAAGGCUGCUGAGGUAUUGCUAACUCACUGUGUUAGAAUCUGCUUGUUAACUCUCCAUGGAGUUAACAAGAGGAGUGAGAGCACAUUUGGGGAAAGGCAGAAAGAGAGAGAGGAUCUUGGAAGGAAAGCCAAGGACAAGCAGAUACAGUCAUGGUGCUUUGGCUGGGACAUAUAUUGAAUAAUACUUCCGAGUUGCCCAUAAAGUCAAGAUCCUGGCAGAGGGUGGAUCUGGAUGCUAACUCAGCAUUUGUAUGCCAUGAAGAGAAUACCAUGGGGACUCAGUCCAUUUUCCUCAUUGAAAUGAUCAACUCAAGUGAAUUAACUUGGUUUCCAACUCAUCCAACCCUAAUCAUCCUCCUUUGAAGUUCUCCUUCCUAAUUCAUGUUGUAAUUGUGCCCUAUAUAAAAAUCCCAAUGUGUCUCAAAGGCAGCUGGAGUACAAACCACGGAAGGGAUGUGGAGGCCUUUUAUCCAAGACAAACCUACACUGAAAAUUAAUCCUGGUUUUGGAUACAGUAAUAGCUCUCAGAUUAGAGAGACAGAAGAAGGUAGCAUGGCUGGACUGCUAACUAUGCCUCUGCUUGCUGCCCUUGAAAGGGACUGAUUCAGGGGACUUUGUUAACCCAGACUAAAAUACUUGUUGAGUUGGAGGAAGGUAGAAGACCUUGUUCUGAUGUUACAUAAGCACAUCGUGUAAAUUAAACUGAAGGAUCAGUUCAACUCUGUAACUCUGAGCAAGCAUAACUGUAGUGAAAUAAAAUUGUUACAAGAAGGAGUGAGAAGGGGUUUAGAGACUGACUUUUCUGUCAUAUCUCUUGGGAAGAAAAUCUCAAUGAAAGCCACCAGUAUUAAUGAAAGCCAAUUGGAACUUGAUAGGAAUUAUUUUGCUAUUUUGUCAGCGUUGGUUGGAACACAGGGAUUUAGGAAGAUUUCCUUUGUAGAAGCACAUCUAGGAACAUUGUGCUGUCUCCUCUGAGCUGUGAGAUGUACAAGCCUUUGGGAAUUUGUAUUUCUCUCAGGAUCUAGUUUGUAUGCAGCUUUUCAGAUUUUCAUGGAAGACCAACAAUCCCACAUUACUGGCAUCUGUUAACUGAAUGAGAGCACACAAUCCCAGACCCAAAUCCUACCUACAUGCCAUGAAGGAACUAGAAGGAUAGAAGGGGAAUUCAGGUUGCCUGGAAUUGCUGUGCCUCUUCUAAAAAUUGUCCCCAUAAACAAAUACCUUAUCAUAGUGGGGUAAACUGCCAAAUCCCAAAGAAUGGGCUUUGAGAAAUUUCUUCUCAGAUUAUUAAACAGGUCCUAUCAAAGAAAUGGCAAAUGAGAAAGUGGCCUUUGUUUUCCACAGUCAUGAUGGGUCUAGGGACUGGAGUGGUAAGGGGGCAUGGUUAGUGGGGACCAGCACAACAUAAAGGGGUCCCAGAGAAUGGAGCGUGCUACAGUUGAGUCAUUUCCUAACUGCAUUUGCUGGUAUUGCACUUGGCUCUGACCAGAGCAUUUCAUUGCUUUUUUAUUGGAAGCACACAAACAUUCUGUCCCGUUUGAAAGGAAGGAGAGGGAAGAGCUCAGCUGCAGCGAAGAAUAGAGAAAUCAGAGAGUGAGGGAGGGAGCUGCAAAGAAAAGAGCAGGUAUAGUGCAUGUCCGAUGAGGUCCAUCUGUUCCUCAUUAACCAGAUGUCUCCCACCCACCUCCUGAAGUGCCAUUGACUGCGUAUUGUCAGGACAAGAAGGGGAUAACAAUGCCACCAUGGUGCAGACAUUCAUACACCAACAGGAGUCCUGCCAUGCAGCCAUCCCUCCCUCUACUACCCUUCCAGAUUGGAUGCCAAGUCCCUCUUUUUCAUAAUCAGCUUUUAAACAGUUACAUCCUCAUAAAGCUUUUGCAUUAUAAUUGCCAUUUGUUUCAUCCUGCUCUGAAAAUGGCAAGUUAUUUCAGCCCACUUUACCAGAAUCAGACCUUACUUCCUGUAAGUGUGUCACGACUUCCUGCAGCAUUUAAAAGAGAGAGAAGUGAAUACUUGCUUUAAAAAGUGGUUUCUACUUGCCAAACUUCAUCAUUUUAAGAGUCAGAGAGUCCUUGGAUUCACACCUGUAUCCAAAGUGCAGCAGUAGAUUUAUGGACAAUUCAACGUACUAAAGAUUAUUUAGAAAUGCAGGAAGAAGUAUAAAUUACUUUCUCUAUGUUGUUAGCCAAGGAUCAUUUAUAAUAAGAGCCCAUUGAAUCAUCCUUACUCCAAGGGUGAUCUGUGCAGUGGUCCAUGUGUGGGCAUGUCAGCCCACACAGGAAAACUCUGUCUUAUUCUCUAGGCUGUAUUCACAGCCUGCUCAUGGCAAAUCUUCCUUUACCUCCAUAUCCCUGAUGAGAGCAAAGCGCUCUGUCCUCAACCCUCUAAAUCAUUCCACAGCACAGCUCAUAAAUUGUAGUGUGCAAAUGGAGCAUGUGCUGAGCUGCAGCCACAGAUAAUGUGAUGCUUCCACCCAUUUUCCUUUGUAAAAGCAUGCAGGCUAUGCUGUGCACUGGGCCCCUGACUCAUGUAACAGCUAGAAAAUAGCCUGUGUCUUAAUCUUGACAUUUUGGUCCGAGCUCCUGCACACUGAAUUUGAAUGGCUGGAGGAGAUCUGGGUGGGCAUGUGUCCUCCAAAAGCAGCAGCUCUGAGCACUUGCCAGAUGAGCAGCUAAAGGCCUCAAGAGCUUGUUGAGAUAAAUAUCUGUACCUCUUUCAGAGUCAUUUUACUUAGUGAGCCUGCAACACUGCCAGAAUAGCUCUAGGUUUAAAUGCCUGUUGAACAGCUGGUGCUGAGCCUCAUGUUGAUGUGAGACCUCUGCAUGAGCUGUGCACUCUCCUUGAUGUCACGGUGUUAUUACAUUGCUGUCACUGCGAGAGCAACUCCAGUGUGGCUUCCUGCUCACUGUGAGGCAGAAGAGUCCUUCAUACAUCGACAGCAGUUGGUCCUUGAACCCUGGUGGGUGAUGACUGAGACUGCAUGCAGGGGCAGUGGCAUUGCUGAGCCCUGUGCAUGUUGCGAAAAGCUGAACAAAGCCAGGUAAAGAUGGAAAGGAAUAAAGAAAGACUUGGUUGAGCAACAAAACAGGAAACUUCAUCAAGAGACAAGAGAGAAUGGAUGGCAGAGAGAGGAGUGAAUGCUUUUUAAAAGAGAAAGGCUCAUUUGUUCAGGGGAAUAACCAUGAGCAGAAAAGACAAAUUAUGAGCUGGCAUUGAAGGCAGGAGAUCUUCCAUUGAGUUAAAAGGAGAGAGAGCUGUUGUGGAGGACAUUGUUUUUAUUGUUUUUUCAUGAUCUGUUUUUCCUGAGAGGCGAUGGAUUCAGACAUUAUAUGCAGAUUUCACCUUUAUCACAGAUGUGUUACAUCUAGCAGUGACUAUAAGUGAAAGGGUGAGCUCAUGCCUCAUGAUAGGUUUCUGUGAAAGGCUGUACUUAAGCUACCUGGGGAAGUUGUGUGAGCCUGCAGGGAGAGGCAACUGCAGUAGGAGGUCAAGUUCUCAAGAAGGAAUGGUCGAUAGAGCUCUGUGCCCCUCAACCAUCCCUGGAGAUGCCCAGUCAGGUGUAGUGCUUUUGUCUCUCUUUACGCUCGAGAGGCUAAAAGCAUGCUGAAAACUCAGCAGCUGGAUUCUGCAGCAGCAAUCUGAUUAGUGUCCAACAAAUGGCUCCUAGCCAGGUUUGUGACAACCUGAUCAAUCAAAUUCAGAAAAUCCCUUUUUAGCUUCACAGCCGACAUUGGGAAAGAUCUGGGAACAUGUUUGGGAAUUGAAGGCACCUGCUGAACGUGAAUGAGAAAGAAAUAAAACAGACAGGUGGAUGGAGAAAGAAAUGAAUGGAGGUUCAUGUGAUGAUUCCAUGGGCUGGUGUUUGGAAGAAAGCAAGCUGCCUUAGAUGCCAAAUUAUGCCCUUGCCUGCAUCACGUGGCAAAUAUGAGACUGCGCUGUGAUGGCAACUUAAUGUGGAUGCAUUUCCAUGUGUUGCUUUUGCAAUAGCAAAACACACCUGAAAGUUUCUCCAGGUGAGUUACAACUGACAUGGAAAGCCUGAGGAGAAAGCUGGGAUCUAGCAAGACAUGGGAAAACAUACCCAGAGUGCCUGUUGUUGCUAUUAAACACCAUCUGUCACGGACCUACGCAGGAGUUCAGUAUUGGAUUCUUCUUCCAUCACAAAGGCUAAAUGAAAUAAUCUGCAUCUUAGCCUCACAUGCAUCAUUGCUGAAUGUAAGAAUUAGUAGUUCAUGCUCACUUUUAGUAGCCAUGGAUUGGACCCAAUGUGUCAACUUCAUGACAUUUUCCUGACACUGCCCAAGACUUAAACAACAUCGAUUUUAUUUUUCUUUUUCUCCCUUACUGUUUUCUUCUCACUCAAAGCAUUGCAGAAUUGGUUUGUUUUUUAAAUAAAACCUUUUUUAGGUGCCAAGUAAGCUUGCAACUGCAGCAAGAACAAUACCCCAAUGUUCUCUCUCUCUCUCUCUCCCCUUUGGUUCUAACAACCUCUGAGUAUCCAUCGAGCAUUGCUUUGCAGAGAAAAAAAUAUAAUAAUGAAUGACUUAAAAUAUCUCUACUGAGGAAAAUACGAGCUUGACUUCAGUUUCAGAGGGAAUUACUUAUUUCUGGCUCAUUCACUGAUUCUAAUAGAAGACCAGCAGAGAUCUCCUAUGUUCAAAGUGUCUGGGAGCUUGAAAGAAGUACCACAGAGUUUGAAUUGGCUCUAAUAUGUUACUGAUUGCUAUCCAUGACGUUUCCCUGGAGCUUUAGAGAACAUCUGUGUACUUCACACUUGGAAAACAGUCAAUAUCCUUCCAUGGUGUGAUAGGCAUUGGGGCCAGGUAAACAGCACUUUGGAAGGAAGGCGGAGUGAUCUAAUAGGGACUUAUGGCUUGGUGAAAAGUGAGUUCAGCUCUGCUGCAGUCUUUGUGUAUACUUGGCUAACCACUUGACCUUCCCAUGUCUGGAAUUUUCCACAAGUAGAAUAGGCAUGGGAGCAUUUUCUUGUUCUCCAGAGACACUGGGUGAUGGAAAGCAUCAAGGGGUGAAAAACCAUGCACUAUCAGAAUGGCUUCCACUGCUUUCAGCAGAGGACAGCAAUUGCACGCAUAGAAAGCACAAGUUGAAACCUCACCCAGCAGCAUUGGUUUUGCUGCUGCAAACUGGGACCUUGCCGUCAGUAAUUUAUCUGUUAGCCUUUGUUUACCUGACCAGUGAUGGCACUAGUGGGUUUGGAAUGUCAUCUUGAUUGGCACCAGUAAAACUUUCAUACCAUGAUCUGCCACUCCCUGUUCUAGAGGGGCAUGUGUGUCAUGGAAAAUAAAUUUAUUUUGAGGAGUUGAAAAAUUAUUGAGACAAUUCUUACAUUGCUUUUCUGCAAAAGUAAGCAUCAAUUACUUCUCAAAUAACCACACACACCUCACAGGAGGCCACAAUGGUCCUUUUAAAAGUGCUAAAAUAGUCUCUCUAUGCAUUAAAAUGCCAACAUUUUAAACUCAUGCUAUUCAAAGUGACUUCUGGAGGGAAGCUGUGGAUUUCCAGCUUUCUCAGUGGUGUCUGAAGCAGGAUGGUUUGUGUGGGAGUUAAAGGUGGCUUUGUGCUGCAUUUGUGUUUUUCUGAUCACCAGACCAGAAGAGAUUGGCUUAGUCUCUGAUACAAACUGGAGUACCUCAAGGCUGUUGUAACAUAUACCUGACCAAAUCCUAACUCAAAACAAGGGACCACUGUAGCAGGGGACUCCUGGAAUGUGAUGUCUUGUACUGUUCAUCCUUUGGGCACAUCCUCUCACUGAGGGAAAGCUUAUGCAUUUCUUGGCUAUGUGGGAGUUCCUGAAAACAGGAAUUUAAACCACCAAUGUGCAGCAAUGUUAGCAAAGGGCAGGAUCUGACUCCAUGGAGUCAGGCAGCAACAGAAUUAACUGAAAUAGCAGGAUGCUUUCUGUCUGAAAAAAGGAAACCACUGCCUCAAGACUAGAUCUUAUUCAUUUUGGGCCUUGGGCAGGUGUUGUUUUGGAAGGCAAAAUCACAAAUGUCACAGUGUCUGCUUAAACAAAUAAAUGAGAAAAAUGCACAUUUUCCAGGGAAGAGAUACUUCAGCCAUGAGAAGUAGCUUUAACCCGGUGCAGUACAAGGCUACAUAGCAAACCCUUCUCAUCAUUCCUCUGAUGCAC